AGUGAACGCUGGCGGUAGGCCUAACACAUGUAAGUCGAACGGCAGCACAGUAAGAGCUUGCUCUUACGGGUGGCGAGUGACGGACGGGUGAGGAAUACAUCGGAAUCUACUUUUUCGUGGGGGAUAACGUAGGGAAACUUACGCUAAUACCGCAUACGACCUACGGGUGAAAGCAGGGGAUCUUCGGACCUUGCGCGAUUGAAUGAGCCGAUGUCGGAUUAGCUAGUUGGCGGGGUAAAGGCCCACCAAGGCGACGAUCCGUAGCUGGUCUGAGAGGAUGAUCAGCCACACUGGAACUGAGACACGGUCCAGACUCCUACGGGAGGCAGCAGUGGGGAAUAUUGGACAAUGGGCGCAAGCCUGAUCCAGCCAUACCGCGUGGGUGAAGAAGGCCUUCGGGUUGUAAAGCCCUUUUGUUGGGAAAGAAAAGCAGCAGGUUAAUACCCCGCUGUUCUGACGGUACCCAAAGAAUAAGCACCGGCUAACUUCGUG
rnacentral:rRNA from 1 species